rnacentral:lncRNA from 1 species
CUGGGUUUAGAAUGCAAUUUUACUGAUUGCUUCGUCCUUGUUGAUACAUGAUUGAAACAUCCAUAUUUAUAUGCUAUGUUCCCAUGCUGACUGCUGUAGUCACCAUUUAUUUGAUGGUUUCUGACAAUGAUGGUAAAAUUAAUUUCGGCGAAUUUUGAACUUUGUAAUACCUAAUGAGUGGUCAAAUAAUAAAUGCAGUUUUCGUCUAUUCUUGACAGGAUUGGAAUUUAUCUUCUCUUGACUAUGACCUCUACAGACCUCUACAGUAAUUACAUGUCAUCAUUACUGCAGAGAAUGAAGAUUACCAUGUCCGGGGUCCUCUAAACCAUGCGUGCAUAACUUGUGCUAUCCUUAGUCACUGACACAUUUGAAUUUAGAUGAGCAGCAUGAUGGAGAUAACCACAAUACCGACAAAAUAGCCUCCUAUUCUUAACUUAUGAUGCCAUUAGCAGUCUUUUCUUGAAUCUUCCCAGUAGGCGCAUUUUCUUGUUAGUGCGGCAUUCGUGUCAUUCUAAGAGUUUGAUUCCUUAUGCUUUAUCUAUAUGAGUUCCGUUAUAUUUCAAUAAUCUAUUAUUGAGAUCUAAAGCGAGGAAUUUCCCUGUAGAAUUUGUUCUGCAUAAAUAAGUUUUGUUGUCAGUAUGAUCAGCCCGUGCUGUGCAUUAUUUUGUUAGAAAGAUAUAACCAAAAAUGAAGUAUCUGAGGAUGUAAGGAAAUAGCUUCCUGAAAUUGCAAAAUUGAUCUCUCUGGUAUUUUGAUAAAUAAUUAUCAAGUUUCGUGUAUAAGUUUUAUCCAAUAGUAUGUGCAUUUACGACGUGUCUAAAUUUGCAUCCCCCAAUUCCAGUCGAGUAAUAACAUUUGCUUCAAGUCAUUAGUUGAUCAUUUUUUAUAAUUCACUUACAAACUAUAGAGCUUACCAUUUGAUAAUAUACAGCGAUAACAUCAUUUUAUUGUAUUAGUUUCAUAGAUUUGCUCUAAUGCACAUCAUCUAUCCUUGCAAGUUGGACUUGAUCUUAUUAUUGGGGAUGUGACUCUUCUAAUGAAUUUUGAGACAGUGCCCAGAAUGAACUCUUCUUGAAUCGGGACAGCCACCAAUGUGUCACUCACUGAUUUAUGCGAGUCACCAUGAGGAUUACAAAAAUGACCUGCUAGGAAUCUUCUGUCCCCUUUGGAAGAUCCAUACAGCAUCUUAGGACAAGAAAUAUUUGCACUACCUUCUCAAUAUGAUCAACUUGAGUGGAACUUUAUUUGGUAAUGGUGGCUCUGGGCAACCACUUAUGGGACCCUUCUUUGCUUUUGUUGCAUUCUGAAGGAACUGUUAAUGGAGACCUUGUCACUCGCAAGAACGUGAAUAUCAAAAAUAGGCUACUAAUAACAGAAGAAAGAAAAUUAGUCAAUAUUUUGAUGUAUUAUCAUUUGAGGUGGUCCCAUACAUGAAUGCUUUCUGAAGUAUUCCUAUUUUCAAGCUUUUAGGUUAUAGAUGAUCAUGUUCACAUGGUUAUGUUAGUAUCUUGUUCUCUUUGUUGUUAUCUUACUGGAACACAUAUCAAAUCUAUUCUGAG